rnacentral:lncRNA from 1 species
UUUAUAGUGAAGAUCAUGUGAGACUUAAAGUCAAAUGCUAUGGUGUAGGUGAGGAGUUGCCAACGAGCUUGAAGGGUUUGAACGAGGGGCUUGGAGGGAACCUUCGGAAGGAAAUCCUUGCAGCGCAUGCGGAAGGCGCAGGUAGGUAUUACAAUCCUUAUAAUUUAUCUUUGGUUUGGGAAGAUAGGUCUGGAGCUUACAGGCAUUGUGCAGAGUCGGGUGGGGUGAGUGAGGUGUCGCCUGGUUUGAUCUGUGGGAGUGGGGUUGGAAUUGGGGUGGCCACGAAGGUGAAGGUUUUAGGCGGUGACGAAGGUGGUGGAGUUGUACUGAAAAGGACAGGUCCCACCUCCGUCGAGCCACGGGAUUACGAAGGUGGCUUAUGCUUUGUUGCUUGCUUCGUAGGUUGCAUUGUUUUGUUUUUUGCAGUUUGACACAUUGUCUUACAUCCCCAGACUUUCAGAAGUUUGCACGUUGCGUGAGUGACGCGGACCUUUUGUGUCCGGACUCCAACCUCGGGAAAAAGGUUACCUCUUGACUUCGCUUCCUUUAUACGAGUGGUUUG